rnacentral:rRNA from 1 species
UACGUCCUACGGGAGGGCAGCAGUGAGGAAUAUUGGUCAAUGGGCGGAAGCCUGAACCAGCCAAGUCGCGUGAGGGAAUAAGGCCCUACGGGUCGUAAACCUCUUUUGCCGGGGAGCAAGGGCCGGGACGAGUCCCGGUCCGGAGAGUACCCGGAGAAAAGGCAUCGGCUAACUCCGUGCCAGCAGCCGCGGUAAUACGGAGGAUGCGAGCGUUAUCCGGAUUUAUUGGGUUUAAAGGGUGCGUAGGCGGGCUUUUAAGUCAGCGGUAAAAAUUCGGGGCUCAACCCCGUCCGGCCGUCGAAACU